rnacentral:lncRNA from 1 species
GGAAGGAAUCGUGCAGCAGUUUAAAGUUUCUCUGUUUAUUCUGGUGUUUACAGGAUGUUCAAGUUAGUGAUACUGUUCCUGACACUGUCAGGCCUCCAAGCUGCCCCACUUGCAGUCCCAAGAAGUUUGCAGAAGACAUCUUCAACCUAUAAGCUCCCUGAUGGCUUUCACCAGGGCACUGAACACUCCGACAUCCAUGAACCUGUUCCUAGGGGCUUCCGACAAGGUACAGAGCCCUCCAGGAGGUUCCUUGUUGACCUCAACACAGGCCUGGUGCAGGAACACAUCAGUGAGAUGGACAGGAGAGUGGCUUCCAUCCGUCCUUCUCUGGAAGAGGGAUUUGGAGAGAUGGAGAGAAGACACUGGCUGACAGACGAG